GAGGGAGCUCUGGGGCAGACUUCCUGUUGUUGUUCCCUGGUACGGAGCACUCUCACUGGCAUGGGGAAAACGACCUGCACUGGUCAAUGCAUCAGAGAGCUUCUGGGUCAGCUGGCAGUGGAGGAACCAUCCGAAAAUGAAAUCCAGAAGGAGCUGUGAAGUCCCUGAGUUUUAGUAUUCUUCAAAGGUCAUUUGAGCUUUGCUUUCUCUGUGACAGGAGAAAAAAGAGAACGAAAGAGACUGACCAUCCAUCACUGCCUUUAUUCCUCUGUCCAAACCAGAGCAAACAUGUCUGUUAACAGAGAGCCAAGUGCUGACCAACAUUGCUUUGGCCUGUCGCCCUGUCGAUUCUAAAGAUCACACAGGUGACGCUCUGACUCUGAUGUUUGCACAAAGAGGACAGGUUAUGUGCUUUGUUGGUUUUUAUCCUCAUGUCAGUAAUGGAAUAGGAAUAGGAUCAUGUGAUGGGAAAUAAAAUAUCCCAGUCUUGAA